UUUCUCAAAGUUUUCCCGCAUUUUUAUGGUGAACAGAUUUUACAAAGAGAGAAGAAACUGUCUCAGUUCCAAACACAGAUUUUGAAUCAUUGCCUGAAGAGACAAACGUUUGCUGGGCAUCUACCUGUGGCUUUUAAGAAUGAACUGAAAUAUCUAUUAACCUACACCAGGGAACGUUUUUUUGAAUUAUGGAAGGUUAGCCAUCCAAGUACUGUUUAUCCAGGAGCAAUUAUUAAAACUAGAGAUGAAGAAGCAAUUGAUGAACCAAAGCUAAAAGAUUCAAAUCCUUUGAAGUGGCCGGAAAGAAAUGUUCUACAGAACUUGGAAAAUUCUGAGAAGAUUAAGCAAAGAACAAGAGUUUCUGAACAGCUGCUGGGCCUUAAAAAUGGCCAGAAGGACUCCGCCUUACUUGAUGUAAGUACUUCAGUGCUUAAGUACUUCACUGCAGAAGGCUUGCCUGUUGGAGAGCUGCAGCCCUUACACAUUCCAAAAAGGUAGAGUAAAAUCCUUGUCUUGAACAUGCAACCCUGCAGUUGACUCAGUUGAGAAUCUUAAGUAGCUACAAGUUCUAGUUCUCCUGUUGGAACAUAAUUUCUGCUGGCAGCAUUCAGGCGUCGAUACUGAUGUUGUAAGCAUCAUUUUCGAACGGCGUGGUCUUUUGAAGCACCUCAAAUAAUUGAACAGGUACUGGUUCUAAUAUCUGUAUUUGAAGUCUAAGCGUCACCUGCAAACUCCGACUUUCUGUGUUGAGCCAAGGUGGCGCAGUGGUUAAAUGCAGCACUGCAGGCUACUG